rnacentral:rRNA from 43 species
UUGACCUCAAAUCAGGUAGGACUACCCGCUGAACUUAAGCAUAUCAA